CACCAAGUGAGACGUGCCUUUCACCUUCCACCAUGAUUGAGAGACCACCCAAGCCACAUGGAACUAUGAGGAGACUGAGGUUCCUGGAGGCUAAGUGACUGACCGAAAGUCCCAGAGUGGUACUUCCAGGGCUAAAACCUAGCUGCCCUGACUUCCCGCCCAGGCUGCUUCCCCGGCUCUAACUGCAUCUCCUGAGACUCUGCUUUGGAUUCUCCUCUCCACGUGACUCCACACUGGACACUUUUCCUAGGAUGGACCCUUCACUGCUCCUGACUUCAUUGCUGGACUUGUUAGAGCAAAGCCCACCUCAACGUGCCCACCAUCAGGCUUUUAGAGCUGGGCCCUGGAGGUCCUGUGGCUCCUGGCACCACCUCUCCUCCCCAGGCUUCCUCUCCUCCUAACUAGGAACGUGCAUCGUCCAGUAGGUGGCGUACCCAUACAUACUGACUUGCUCCUUUCUGUUCUUGCUUCUGUCAUCUCAUCCUCCGGGAAUGUCCUUUCCCACCUCUCUUUCCCUGGAGGCUUCCCUCACUGCUCCUUGGAUCUCUCUCUUCUCUGAUUUCCAAUUUCACUCACUGUCCAUAUCAAUUUCCUUGGCAUGAAAUCAGAGGAAACUAUGUCUUCAGGUUGUUUCCUAUGUGCCUAUCUUCUUCAACUGUACGGCCUGUUCCUUGAAAACAAACAAAGGUCUUUUACCUCUUUGAGUUCCCCAUCAGGCCAGGAGAGCUCAGUGGUGAUGGGAUGAGAUCUGGACUCACACCUCUAGGCCUGGGUUCAAAUCCCAGGUCUAGCGCUUAUAACCUAUGUGAUUUGGGAAAUCCUAUGUUUUUCAGCUUUAAAAGAAAUUAUUUAGCCAGGCAUGGUGGCUCACAUCUGUAAUGACAGCACUUUGGGGGGCCGAGGUGGGUGGGUCACUUGAGGCUAGGAAUUUGAGACCAGCCUGGCUAACAUGGUGAAACCCAGUCUCUACUGAAAAUACAAAAAUUAGCUGGGCAUAGUGGCACACACCUGUAAUCCCAGUUACUCGGGAGGCUGAGGCAUGAGAAUCACUUGAACCCAGGAGGCAGAGGUUACAGUGAGCUGAGAUCGCGCCACUGCACUCCAGCCUGGGUGACAGAACAAGACUCUGUCUCAAAAGAAAAAAAAAGAAAGAAAGAAAGAAAAGAAAUUAUUUAACUUCUUUAUCAGAAGUUUGCUUUGUUAACAUAUUUGUCCAUUGAAUAAAUAUUUGUUGAUUACCUACUUGUGCCAGGCCUAUGCUUUUCAACAUAUAUGAGCUCAUCUAAUUCUCAUAAUCUAAUGUGAUAACUUUAGCCCUGGGACUCCAAACUCUAGCAUCAAAUUUGUGGAAAUUAAAUUAAUUAAGUGUUCAUAUGGAAGUGCACCAUGCUGGACACAUUGUAGGUGCCCAGCAAGUCUUUGCUGAAUCUGAGUGUUAGUUAUUAAAUUGAAUCAAAUUGACUCACUCAUCCACAGUACUGAAGAUAUUAUAGUGAAUAAAACUACAAGCUGGGUACAGUGGCUCAUGCCUGUAAUUCCAGCACUUUGGGAGGCGAAGGUGGGCAGAUCACGAGGUCAAGAGAUAGAGACCAUCCUGGCCAACAUGGUGAAACCUCGUCUCUACUAAAAAUACAAAAAAUUAGCUGGGCGUUUUGGCACACAC
rnacentral:lncRNA from 10 species